rnacentral:rRNA from 1 species
AACGAACGCUGGCGGCAUGCCUAACACAUGCAAGUCGAACGAUGCCUUCGGGCAUAGUGGCGCACGGGUGCGUAACGCGUGGGAAUCUGCCCUUGGGUUCGGAAUAACUCAGAGAAAUUUGAGCUAAUACCGGAUGAUGACGUAAGUCCAAAGAUUUAUCGCCCAAGGAUGAGCCCGCGUAAGAUUAGCUAGUUGGUGGGGUAAAGGCCUACCAAGGCGACGAUCUUUAGCUGGUCUGAGAGGAUGAUCAGCCACACUGGGACUGAGACACGGCCCAGACUCCUACGGGAGGCAGCAGUGGGGAAUAUUGGACAAUGGGCGAAAGCCUGAUCCAGCAAUGCCGCGUGAGUGAUGAAGGCCUUAGGGUUGUAAAGGCUCUUUUACCCUAGGGAUGAUAAUGACAGUACCUGGAGAAUAAGACUCCGGCUAACUCCGUG